rnacentral:rRNA from 1 species
UCGUGGUGUGAAUUGUCCGCUUAAUUGCCUAAACGAGCGAGACCUUAGCCUGCUAACUAGAUGUGCUGAUCCCAGAUUGGUACCAUCUUCUUAGAGGGACGGAGUAUUAAAAGUACUCGGAAGUUUGAGGCCAAAACA